CUGCAACCUCCACCUCCCGGGUUCAAGUGAUUCUCCUGUCUCAGCCUCCUGAGUAGCUGAGAUUACAGGUGCCUGCCACUACAUCUGGCUAAUUUUUGUAUUUUUAGUAGAGAUGGGGUUUCACCAUGUCGGCCAGGCUGGUUUUGAACUCCUGACCUCAGGUGAUCUGCCUGCCUUGGCCUCCCAAAAUGCUGGGAUGAGCCAAGGCCAUUGCUGGCAGCUGUGUUAAAAACUUCUUCCUUAGUUGAAGUCUACUUCCUCAGAAAUGCACCCAUUGGUCCUAUCUCUACAGAGGCUGAACAGCUGCUCCCCCACCCACUGCCUUCCGGAGGUGAGGCUUUCAAGUGUAAUGAAAUCUUUGAAAGGUGCUUGUACUAAAUCAAAGACACCAGCU
rnacentral:lncRNA from 1 species